AUGGAGCUCCUGGAUCACCACCUCGUCAUCGUCUCCCUUAACUUCGCCGUGCACCAGGCAUGGAGUUCAGGACCGGGCUCCUUCACCAGAGCGAUCCCCUUCGCCCCCUUCGCCGCUGGAGUGGGCCUUGAGCGUCGUGCGGCGGAGGCCCUAGCACGCAAGAUCAGGGCUUCCGGCGUUGUAGAAGGCCAUCGGUGGGCUUCAGGGUUCGGCGGCGUGUGUUUGGAUGAUGAGAUAUGGGAAAUAAGGUACCAUUUUCAAGGGAAAGACAACUUGGAAAGGACCAUUUCUCUGUCAGAAAUCACUUAUAUUAACAUGUUAGCACUGCUAGGGACUGAAGAGGGAUAUACUGAAGCUGACUACAUGUUCUAUAUGAAAGAAGAGGGAAAGGGGGCAGCAGGGAUGCAGGUUAUUGACAGUGAAGAGAGUGUGGAGGAGAUGCUAGACCAUUAUGCUGAGCAGAAGGUGCUCAACAUAACUGUAAUUAAGGCUAAUGAGCCUAAUCUAGGAGAGUUUAACAGGGCAAAUAUUGUGGAGGAACAAGUACCUAUAAAUAAUGUGGGGGAUUCCAACAUUAUUUCUAUAGAUGAGGCAGGGGUAUUGUUCCCUAUUUCUGUUGAAGACACAGUUGAGGAGUUGUAUGCUGUUCCUAUUGCUGUUGUAGAGCCAGGUGAAGAGGCUGCUUACAUUAAUACACAAGAAAGCAUGACUUUGAGAAAAGCAAAGGGCAAAGAGAAAUUACAGGAAGAUGUUAGCCCCUCUGAUGAUGAAGGGUUUGUUGAUUUGAACUGGUGUGAGGAGAAAGAGGAAGAGCAUGACAUAGGUAAUGAGGAGGAAGAUGAAAUCAUUGAGAAGUUGAAGCAGAAAAGGAAACAGAGAGAGGAUCCUAUGCAUCACUUUGAAGGAGACACAGAAGUGGAAGAGAUGUGUCCAGAGGCAGAGGACUCAGACACAGAACCUGAGACACCACUUCCUCAAACAUUUAAGAAAGUAGGCAAAGCAGGCCCCACUACAAGAUCACUCCAUGAAGCUGACAUUGAGGUAAUUCCUGAUUUCAUUCCAUCAGAUGAUUCAUCUUGUUUCCCUAGGGACUAUGGCAUUAGUGAAUCAGAUGAUGAGUCAGGUCUACCACUGCCUUGUGGAAGGAAGAGUCAAGCCAAGAGGGCCAGGACUAGGAUCUGAACAUCAAGUUGUUGCACACUUGUGGUGCACAUGGAGAAAAAAACAAAAGUGACAGUUGACUGGAUGGCCAGAACCUGUGAGCAGCAACUGAGAGAUAAUCCAAGGGCUGGUGUUGAUGCAAUUUUAAAAAGAACAAAGACUAAGUAUGGGCUUGAAGUGCCAAAGACAAAGGCCUACAGGGCAAGGUCAUUGGCCAUUGAAGUGGUGGAAGGUGACAUGAAGGGACAAUAUACAAGGUUUAGGGAUUAUCUUCAAGCUGUGCUUGAUACCAACCCUAGGAGCAGAUGCAUUGUGACUACCACGGAGCUUGAGCUCCAUCCUAGUCCAAAUCCUAGGUUACACUACAUGUUCUACUGUCUGAAUGCUUCAAAAGAAAGUUUCUUGAGUGGGUGUAGGCCAUUUAUAGGUUUAGAUGGCUGCUUUAUCAAGCUUUCUACUGGGCAACAGAUACUUGUUGCCACUGGGAGGGAUGGGAAUAACAACAUAUCCCCUAUUGCAAUUGGUAUUGUUGAUAAGGAGGACAAGGAUAGUUGGACUUGGUUUCUUAGCCAGUUAAGAGCUUGCAUUGGAGAAGGGAACAAGUGGGGCACAUACACAAUCAUCUCUGAUAGACAGAAGGGGUUGUUGAAUGCAAUUCAAGCUGUGUUCCCACACUCACCUCAAAGAUAUUGUCUUAGACAUAUCUAUGCAAAUUUCCAGUCAGCGGGCUACAUGAAUCCACCAGUGUUCAAAGAGAAGAAGGGCAGGAAGCAAACAGCUAGGAGGAAGGGGCAAUUUGAGGUCCCAACAAGGAAGGAUACAUCAAGGAUGGCAACUAUCACCUGCAGCAACUUCAAGAUGCAGAAACAUAGGUACACCUAUUGCCCUCAGACCCUGAAGCCUCAUCUUCAGGCAAGAAAGGACAAGCACAAGACAACCAGAACUCACUACCAUGAAGCUGGGGGGAGUUCUGCUGCAUCUGCCCAGCCUGCAACCAGUGCACCACCUGCUGCAACAACUAGGGGAAGAAGAACAACUUCUGGUGGUCCUUCCCAGACUGCUACAUCUACAAGGGGAAGCAAAACAACUGUUGCUGCUAUUAGUCCUGCCCAUCCUGCUGCUUCUACAAGGCCAAGAAGAACAACUGCUGCUACUACUCCUUUCCAGGCUUCCACAAGAGCUUCAGGUUCAAGCAAUGCACCCAGCAGGAGAGGUGGAAGGCCCUACAUGGCACCUAGGGCUGCAACUACAACAGAGGGAGCAACAGUAGGGUCCAAAAGGAAGAGGUUCCAGAACACCAGGAUGAGGGGUUACUUUUAUGCUAGUGGCAACUAG
rnacentral:rRNA from 1 species